GUGGAACUUGUCCCCUUUGUUGUUGA
rnacentral:piRNA from 1 species